GAACGCGCCGCUCCCCGCCCGGGGAUGCUCCCGGGCUGCAGUGGGGCCCCGCCUCCUCGAGCCGCCAUCGCUGCUUCCCUCGCCCUGCCCGGCUGUGCGUCCGGGAGUUUUCGCUGGCCGAGGAACACCUCGUGGCCGUGCCGUUUAACGGCGGAACGGUUGCACCAUGGAUUGGGUCCAUUGAAGGGUCUGGAGCACAACUCCCACGAGGAGCGGCUGAGAGAGCUGCGGCUGUUGAGCCUGGAGAAGAGGAGGCUCGGGGUACCCUGACAGGAGAUGAUGCAUAAGGAACACAAACUGCAUUGCAGGCAAUAGGAAAAAAACUCCUAAUGAAGGAUCAAUACAAAAAGACAACAUUUAAAAGGAGAAAAAAACGUGUUAAAAAGACAUAUUGACUUGCUGUGCAGCAAGUAUUUGAGUUUCUUCUAGCAAAGAGGCUGAAUACCUAGGAAACAACUCCCACCAGCGUAUCUUUUAUUCCACCUUUCAUUUGGGAAGGACACAGUAGGAAGGAAUUAAAUCACACCUUAAAGGGUAAAUUAAAGCACUUCCAGAUUGUUCUGUUUA